rnacentral:rRNA from 1 species
GACGAACGCUGGCGGCGUGCCUAAUACAUGCAAGUUGAGCGAUGAAGAUUGGUGCUUGCACCAAUUUGAAGAGCAGCGAACGGGUGAGUAACGCGUGGGGAAUCUGCCUUUGAGCGGGGGACAACAUUUGGAAACGAAUGCUAAUACCGCAUAACAACUUUAAACAUAAGUUUUAAGUUUGAAAGAUGCAAUUGCAUCACUCAAAGAUGAUCCCGCGUUGUAUUAGCUAGUUGGUGAGGUAAAGGCUCACCAAGGCGAUGAUACAUAGCCGACCUGAGAGGGUGAUCGGCCACAUUGGGACUGAGACACGGCCCAAACUCCUACGGGAGGCAGCAGUAGGGAAUCUUCGGCAAUGGACGAAAGUCUGACCGAGCAGCGCCGCGUGAGUGCAGAAGGUUUUCGGAUCGUAAAACUCUGUUGGUAGAGAAGAACGUUGGUGAGAGUGGAAAGCUCAUCAAGUGACGGUAACUACCCAGAAAGGGACGGCUAACUACGUG